rfam:Botryotinia fuckeliana BcDW1 unplaced genomic scaffold Scaffold_179, whole genome shotgun sequence.
CUCUCGGUCGUCUAGUUGGUUUAUGACGUCAGACUGUAAUUGUACAUUGUAAUCUGGAUGUCGCGUGUUCGACUCACGCCUGAGAGA